GCUGAACUUAAGCAUAUCAAUAAGCGGAGGAAAAGAAACCAACAGGGAUUGCCUUAGUAGCGGCGAGCGAAGCGGCAAAAGCUCAUCUUUGGAAUCGCGCAAGCGAGUUGUAGAGGCGUACUUAAGGAAAGCGUGCAAGUGUCUUGGAACAGACCACCGCAGAGGGUGACAGUCCCGUGAACGCAUCCAUAUAGGUCCGCAGAGAGUCGAGUUGUUUGGGAAUGCAGCUCUAAUGGGUGGUAAACUCCAUCUAAGGCUAAAUAUUGGCGAGAGACCGAUAGCGAACAAGUACAGUGAUGGAAAGAUGAAAAGCACUUUGAAAAGAGAGUGAAACAGCACGUGAAAUUGUUGAAAGGGAAGGAAUGGAGGUGGCAUAGAGGAUGAGAUUGGACUGAGGUAUAAUGGCUCAAGAACGUGGCACCUUCGGGUGUGUUAUAUCUUGGGUUGA
rnacentral:rRNA from 1 species